AGCAUUAAUUUGCGACGUGUUGCAAGAUAUCGCGUGAGUCUAUUGUGAUAUUGAUACGCGUGAAUACGAUACGCUUUGUGUGCACACAAGUUACGGAACAAUAUCUUACACCGGCGUGUACUCAAUAAUCUAAACAAAAUUGCAUGUGUGACAGGAUUUCGAAAUAUUGAGACAUUUUAAGUAAACGCAGCACCGAAAGUAGUAUAUUAGCACUUAAUUUUGUCAAUAAUAAGACAUUGUUGCCGAAAAUUGAAAAUGCGACGAAUGUUGAGUUGAUUUUUCCUUGAAGGGAAGGCAAUAAAAAUUUAUCUCAGAAUUUUAAUUAACAAGAAAAGAAACUUGAUUUCAUCGUUGUAAUAUACAUAGAAUUGCUUACGCCAAUGACUCCGCGAAUGGAGAUUUCCAUUGCAAGAGGACUGGCGCCUACAAUGGUUAUCAACGGGGUCUAUCACACAUAUUGUAUAUACGUAUAUAAGAAAAGCUGGAGCUGUGAACAGCGGAAUAUACUAUUAUAUGAUUACACGCACAUUUGUUUGUAAUGAGCUAUUAUAAUUAAUAAUUGAUGAUUUUACGCUGCAC